UACGGAGGAUCCGAGCGUUAUCCGGAUUUAUUGGGUUUAAAGGGUGCGCAGGCGGGAGAUUAAGUCGGCGGUGAAAUUUUGCAGCUUAACUGUAAAAGUGCCUUCGAAACUGGUUUCCUUGAGUGUGGAUGAAGUAGGCGGAAUUUGUGGUGUAGCGGUGAAAUGCAUAGAUAUCACGAGGAACUCCGAUUGCGCAGGCAGCUUACUAAACCAUAACUGACGCUCAGGCACGAAGGCGUGGGGAUCAAACAGGAUUAGAUACCCGCGUAGU
rnacentral:rRNA from 1 species